AUUGAACGCUGGCGGCAUGCUUUACACAUGCAAGUCGAACGGCAGCGCGGGCUUCGGCCUGGCGGCGAGUGGCGAACGGGUGAGUAAUACAUCGGAACGUGCCCAGGAGUGGGGGAUAGCUCGGCGAAAGCCGGAUUAAUACCGCAUACGACCUGAGGGUGAAAGCGGGGGAUCUUCGGACCUCGCGCUCUUGGCGCGGCCGAUGGCAGAUUAGCUAGUUGGUGGGGUAAAGGCCUACCAAGGCGACGAUCUGUAGCUGGUCUGAGAGGACGACCAGCCACACUGGGACUGAGACACGGCCCAGACUCCUACGGGAGGCAGCAGUGGGGAAUUUUGGACAAUGGGCGAAAGCCUGAUCCAGCAAUGCCGCGUGUGUGAUGAAGGCCUUCGGGUUGUAAAGCACUUUUGGCGGGAACGAAAAGGACUGUGCCAAUACCACGGUUCGAUGACGGUACCCUCAGAAUAAGCACCGGCUAACUACGUG
rnacentral:rRNA from 1 species